AGAGUUUGAUCAUGUCCUCAGAUUGAACGCUGGCGGCAUGCCUUACACAUGCAAGUCGAACGGUAACAGGUCUUCGGAUGCUGACGAGUGGCGAACGGGUGAGUCAUACAUCGGAACGUGCCCGAGAGUGGGGGAUAACGAGGCGAAAGCUUUGCUAAUACCGCAUACGAUCUCAGGAUGAAAGCAGGGGACCGCAAGGCCUUGCGCUCACGGAGCGGCCGAUGGCAGAUUAGGUAGUUGGUGGGAUAAAAGCUUACCAAGCCGACGAUCUGUAGCUGGUCUGAGAGGACGACCAGCCACACUGGGACUGAGACACGGCCCAGACUCCUACGGGAGGCAGCAGUGGGGAAUAUUGGACAAUGGGCGAAAGCCUGAUCCAGCCAUGCCGCGUGUGUGAAGAAGGUCUUCGGAUUGUAAAGCACUUUAAGUUGGGAGGAAGGGUCGUAACCUAAUACGUUACGGCUUUGACGUUACCGACAGAAUAAGCACCGGCUAACUUCGUGCCAGCAGCCGCGGUAAUACGAAGGGUGCAAGCGUUAAUCGGAAUUACUGGGCGUAAAGCGCGCGUAGGUGGUUCAGCAAGUUGGAUGUGAAAGCCCUGGGCUCAACCUGGGAACUGCAUCCAAAACUACUGAGCUAGAGUACGGUAGAGGGUAGUGGAAUUUCCUGUGUAGCGGUGAAAUGCGUAGAUAUAGGAAGGAACACCAGUGGCGAAGGCGACUACCUGGACUGAUACUGACACUGAGGUGCGAAAGCGUGGGGAGNCCACAGGAUUAGAUACCCUGGUAGUCCACGCCGUAAACGAUGUCGACUAGCCGUUGGGAUCCUUGAGAUCUUAGUGGCGCAGCUAACGCAUUAAGUCGACCGCCUGGGGAGUACGGCCGCAAGGUUUAAACUCAAAUGAAUUGA
rnacentral:rRNA from 1 species